UGACCCAGCGACGCCGCGUGGGCGAUGAAGGUCUUCGGAUCGUAAAGCCCUGUGAGUUGAGAAGAAGCCUUUGAGUGCUAAUAUCACUUAGAGGUGACAGUAUCAGCAGAGGAAGCCCCGGCUAACUACGUGCCAGCAGCCGCGGUAAAACGUAGGGGGCUAGCGUUGUUCGGAAUUACUGGGCGUAAAGCGCGUGUAGGCGGUUUGGUAAGUCAGAAGUGAAAUCCCUCGGCUCAACCGAGGAACUGCUUUUGAAACUACCGAACUUGAGUAUGGGCGGGGAGAGCGGAAUUCCCGGUGUAGCGGUGAAAUGCGUAGAUAUCGGGAAGAACACCAGUGGCGAAGGCGGCUCUCUGGACCAUCACUGACGCUGAGACGCGAAAGCGUGGGUAGCAAACAGGAUUAGAUACCCUGGUAGUCCACGCCCUAAACGAUGGGUACUUGGCGUAGGGAGUCUUAAAUCUCCCUUUGCCGGAGCUAACGCGUUAAGUACCCCGCCUGGGGAGUACGGUCGCAAGGCUG
rnacentral:rRNA from 1 species